rnacentral:rRNA from 1 species
AACGAACGCUGGCGGCAUGCCCAACACAUGCAAGUCGAACGAAGCCUUCGGGCUUAGUGGCGCACGGGUGCGUAACGCGUGGGAAUCUGCCCUUUGGUUCGGAAUAACAGUUGGAAACGACUGCUAAUACCGGAUGAUGACGAAAGUCCAAAGAUUUAUCGCCAGAGGAUGAGCCCGCGUAGGAUUAGCUAGUUGGUGUGGUAAAGGCGCACCAAGGCGACGAUCCUUAGCUGGUCUGAGAGGAUGAUCAGCCACACUGGGACUGAGACACGGCCCAGACUCCUACGGGAGGCAGCAGUGGGGAAUAUUGGACAAUGGGCGAAAGCCUGAUCCAGCAAGGCCGCGUGAGUGAUGAAGGCCCUAGGGUUGUAAAGCUCUUUUACCCGGGAUGAUAAUGACAGUACCGGGAGAAUAAGCCCCGGCUAACUCCGUGCCAGCAGCCGCCGUAA